rnacentral:rRNA from 1 species
CGUAGGUAAUCUACCUUCGGAUGGGGAAUAACAACCGGAAACGGUUGCUAAUACCGCAUAAUGCAGCGGCACCUAAUGGUGACAGUUGUUAAAGCGGGGGAUCGCAAGACCUCGCGUCUGAAGAGGAGCCUGCGGCGGAUUAGCUAGUUGGUAAGGUAACGGCUUACCAAGGCGACGAUCCGUAGCCGGCCUGAGAGGGCGGUCGGCCACACUGACACUGACAUACGGGUCAG